rnacentral:rRNA from 1 species
GAUGAACGCUGGCGGCGUGCCUAAUACAUGCAAGUCGAGCGAACAGACGAGGAGCUUGCUCCUCUGACGUUAGCGGCGGACGGGUGAGUAACACGUGGAUAACCUACCUAUAAGACUGGGAUAACUUCGGGAAACCGGAGCUCAUACCGGAUAAUAUAUUGAACCGCAUGGUUCAAUAGUGAAAGACGGUUUUGCUGUCACUUAUAGAUGGAUCCGCGCCGCAUUAGCUAGUUGGUAAGGUAACGGCUUACCAAGGCAACGAUGCGUAGCCGACCUGAGAGGGUGAUCGGCCACACUGGAAGUGAGACACGGUCCAGACUCCUACGGGAGGCAGCAGUAGGGAAUCUUCCGCAAUGGGCGAAAGCCUGACGGAGCAACGCCGCGUGAGUGAUGAAGGUCUUCGGAUCGUAAAACUCUGUUAUUAGGGAAGAACAAAUGUGUAAGUAACUAUGCACGUCUUGACGGUACCUAAUCAGAAAGCCACGGCUAACUACGUG